UACAGAGGUCUCAAGCGUUGUUCGGAUUCAUUGGGCGUAAAGGGUGCGUAGGCGGCGCGGUAAGUCGGGUGUGAAAUUUCGGAGCUCAACUCCGAAACUGCAUUCGAUACUGCGGUGCUUGAGGACUGGAGAGGAGACUGGAAUUUACGGUGUAGCAGUGAAAUGCGUAGAGAUCGUAAGGAAGACCAGUGGCGAAGGCGGGUCUCUGGACAGUUCCUGACACUGAGGCACGAAGGCCAGGGGAGCAAACGGG
rnacentral:rRNA from 1 species